UUUCCGUAGGUGAACCUGCGGAGGGAUCAUUACCGAGUGAGAGACCCCCAGGCCCGAUCUCCACCCCUGUGUCUGUGUGACCUUGUUGCCUUGGCGGGGCCGCCUCGAUGAGAGGCCGCCGGAAGCUCACCGCUUUGGACCCGUGCCCGUCAGUUGUCCCCAUAAAUUUGUAAUAAACCUCUCCACUGCGUCAAUGGAUAUAAUGAACGAAAACUUUCGACAACGAAUCGUAUGGUUCUGGCCUCGACGAAGAACGCAGCAGAUCGGAAGACCACCCGU
rnacentral:misc_RNA from 1 species